GACGAACGCUGGCGGCGUGCUUAACACAUGCAAGUCGAACGGAAAGGCCCCUUUGGGGGUACUCGAGUGGCGAACGGGUGAGUAACACGUGAGUAACCUGCCCUUGACUUCGGGAUAACUUCAGGAAACUGGGGCUAAUACCGGAUAGGAAUCCUUGCUGCAUGGUGGGGGUUGGAAAGCUUCGGCGGUUUUGGAUGGACUCGCGGCUUGUCAGCUUGUUGGUGGGGUAGUGGCUUACCAAGGCUUUGACGGGUAGCCGGCCUGAGAGGGCGACCGGCCACAUUGGGACUGAGAUACGGCCCAGACUCCUACGGGAGGCAGCAGGGGGGAAUAUUGCACAAUGGGCGGAAGCCUGAUGCAGCAACGCCGCGUGCGGGAUGACGGCCUUCGGGUUGUAAACCGCUUUCAGCAGGGGCGAAGCUUGUGGUGACGGUACCUGCAGAAGAAGCACCGGCUAACUACGUG
rnacentral:rRNA from 1 species